rnacentral:rRNA from 1 species
GGGUUGUGAGGUUAAGCGACUAAGCGUACACGGUGGAUGCCCUGGCAGUCAGAGGCGAUGAAGGACGUGCUAAUCUGCGAAAAGCGUCGGUAAGGUGAUAUGAACCGUUAUAGCCGGCGAUGUCCGAAUGGGGAAACCCAGUGCAAUUCGUUGCACUAUCGUUAACUGAAUACAUAGGUUAACGAGGCGAACCGGGGGAACUGAAACAUCUAAGUACCCCGAGGAAAAGAAAUCAACCGAGAUUCCCCCAGUAGCGGCGAGCGAACGGGGAGCAGCCCAGAGUCUGAAUCAGCUUGUGUGUUAGUGGAACGGUCUGGAAAGUCCGACGGUACAGGGUGAUAGUCCCGUACACCAAAAUGCACAGGCUAUGAACUCGAAGAGUAGGGCGGGACACGUGGUAUCCUGUCUGAAUAUGGGGGGACCAUCCUCCAAGGCUAAAUACUCCUGACUGACCGAUAGUGAACCAGUACCGUGAGGGAAAGGCGAAAAGAACCCCGGCGAGGGGAGUGAAAAAGAACCUGAAACCGUGUACGUACAAGCAGUGGGAGCACCUUCGGGUGUGACUGCGUACCUUUUGUAUAAUGGGUCAGCGACUUAUAUUCUGUAGCAAGGUUAACCGUAUAGGGGAGCCGCAGGGAAACCGAGUCUUAACUGGGCGUUAAGUUGCAGGGUAUAGACCCGAAACCCGGUGAUCUAGCCAUGGGCAGGUUGAAGGUUGGGUAACACUAACUGGAGGACCGAACCGACUAAUGUUGAAAAAUUAGCGGAUGACUUGUGGCUGGGGGUGAAAGGCCAAUCAAACCGGGAGAUAGCUGGUUCUCCCCGAAAGCUAUUUAGGUAGCGCCUCGUGAACUCAUCUUCGGGGGUAGAGCACUGUUUCGGCUAGGGGGUCAUCCCGACUUACCAACCCGAUGCAAACUACGAAUACCGAAGAAUGUUAUCACGGGAGACACACGGCGGGUGCUAACGUCCGUCGUGAAGAGGGAAACAACCCAGACCGCCAGCUAAGGUCCCAAAGUCAUGGUUAAGUGGGAAACGAUGUGGGAAGGCACAGACAGCCAGGAUGUUGGCUUAGAAGCAGCCAUCAUUUAAAGAAAGCGUAAUAGCUCACUGGUCGAGUCGGCCUGCGCGGAAGAUGUAACGGGGCUAAACCAUGCACCGAAGCUGCGGCAGCGACACUAUGUGUUGUUGGGUAGGGGAGCGUUCUGUAAGCCUGCGAAGGUGACCUGUGAGGGUUGCUGGAGGUAUCAGAAGUGCGAAUGCUGACAUAAGUAACGAUAAAGCGGGUGAAAAGCCCGCUCGCCGGAAGACCAAGGGUUCCUGUCCAACGUUAAUCGGGGCAGGGUGAGUCGACCCCUAAGGCGAGGCCGAAAGGCGUAGUCGAUGGGAAACAGGUUAAUAUUCCUGUACUUGGUGUUACUGCGAAGGGGGGACGGAGAAGGCUAUGUUAGCCGGGCGACGGUUGUCCCGGUUUAAGCAUGUAGGCUGGUUGUCCAGGCAAAUCCGGAUAAUCAAGGCUGAGGUGUGAUGACGAGGCACUACGGUGCUGAAGUAACAAAUGCCCUGCUUCCAGGAAAAGCCUCUAAGCAUCAGGUAACAUCAAAUCGUACCCCAAACCGACACAGGUGGUCAGGUAGAGAAUACCAAGGCGCUUGAGAGAACUCGGGUGAAGGAACUAGGCAAAAUGGUGCCGUAACUUCGGGAGAAGGCACGCUGGUGUGUAGGUGAAGCCCCUGCGGGUGGAGCUGAGACCAGUCGAAGAUACCAGCUGGCUGCAACUGUUUAUUAAAAACACAGCACUGUGCAAACACGAAAGUGGACGUAUACGGUGUGACGCCUGCCCGGUGCCGGAAGGUUAAUUGAUGGGGUUAUCCGUAAGGAGAAGCUCUUGAUCGAAGCCCCGGUAAACGGCGGCCGUAACUAUAACGGUCCUAAGGUAGCGAAAUUCCUUGUCGGGUAAGUUCCGACCUGCACGAAUGGCGUAAUGAUGGCCAGGCUGUCUCCACCCGAGACUCAGUGAAAUUGAACUCGCUGUGAAGAUGCAGUGUACCCGCGGCAAGACGGAAAGACCCCGUGAACCUUUACUAUAGCUUGACACUGAACAUUGAGCCUUGAUGUGUAGGAUAGGUGGGAGGCUUUGAAGCGUGGACGCCAGUCUGCGUGGAGCCAACCUUGAAAUACCACCCUUUAAUGUUUGAUGUUCUAACGUUGGCCCCUUACCGGGGUUGCGGACAGUGUCUGGUGGGUAGUUUGACUGGGGCGGUCUCCUCCCAAAGCGUAACGGAGGAGCACGAAGGUUAGCUAAUCCUGGUCGGACAUCAGGAGGUUAGUGCAAUGGCAUAAGCUAGCUUGACUGCGAGCGUGACGGCGCGAGCAGGUGCGAAAGCAGGUCAUAGUGAUCCGGUGGUUCUGAAUGGAAGGGCCAUCGCUCAACGGAUAAAAGGUACUCCGGGGAUAACAGGCUGAUACCGCCCAAGAGUUCAUAUCGACGGCGGUGUUUGGCACCUCGAUGUCGGCUCAUCACAUCCUGGGGCUGAAGUAGGUCCCAAGGGUAUGGCUGUUCGCCAUUUAAAGUGGUACGCGAGCUGGGUUUAGAACGUCGUGAGACAGUUCGGUCCCUAUCUGCCGUGGGCGCUGGAGAAUUGAGGGGGGCUGCUCCUAGUACGAGAGGACCGGAGUGGACGCAUCACUGGUGUUCGGGUUGUCAUGCCAAUGGCACUGCCCGGUAGCUAAAUGCGGAAGAGAUAAGUGCUGAAAGCAUCUAAGCACGAAACUUGCCCCGAGAUGAGUUCUCCCUGAGACUUUAAGUCUCCUGAAGGAACGUUAAAGACGAUGACGUUGAUAGGCCGGGUGUGUAAGCGCAGCGAUGCGUUGAGCUAACCGGUACUAAUGAACCGUGAGGCUUAACCUUACAACGCCGAAG